GAUGAACGCUGGCGGCGUGCCUAAUACAUGCAAGUCGAGCGAACAGACGAGGAGCUUGCUCCUCUGACGUUAGCGGCGGACGGGUGAGUAACACGUGGAUAACCUACCUAUAAGACUGGGAUAACUUCGGGAAACCGGAGCUAAUACCGGAUAAUAUAUUGAACCGCAUGGUUCAAUAGUGAAAGACGGUUUUGCUGUCACUUAUAGAUGGAUCCGCGCCGCAUUAGCUAGUUGGUAAGGUAACAGCUUACCAAGGCAACGAUGCGUAGCCGACCUGAGAGGGUGAUCGGCCACACUGGAACUGAGACACGGUCCAGACUCCUACGGGAGGCAGCAGUAGGGAAUCUUCCACAAUGGGCGAAAGCCUGACGGAGCAACGCCGCGUGAGUGAUGAAGGUCUUCGGAUCGUAAAACUCUGUUAUUAGGGAAGAACAAAUGUGUAAGUAACUAUGCACGUCUUGACGGUACCUAAUCAGAAAGCCACGGCUAACUA
rnacentral:rRNA from 1 species